rfam:Colletotrichum incanum strain MAFF 238704 contig2091, whole genome shotgun sequence.
UCCCCGAUAGUCUAGUGGUGAGGAUAUCUGCUUGUCAUUGCAUUGCAACAACUCGCAGGGGACCGGGGUUCAAUUCCCCGUCGAGGAG